rnacentral:rRNA from 1 species
AUUGAACGCUGGCGGAAUGCUUUACACAUGCAAGUCGAACGGCAGCACGGGGCAACCUGGUGGCGAGUGGCGAACGGGUGAGUAAUACAUCGGAACGUGCCCAAUCGUGGGGGAUAACGUAGCGAAAGUUACGCUAAUACCGCAUACGAUCUACGGAUGAAAGCGGGGGAUCGCAAGACCUCGCGCGAAUGGAGCGGCCGAUGUCAGAUUAGGUAGUUCGGUGGGGUAAAGGCUCACCAAGCCAACGAUCUGUAGCUGGUCUGAGAGGACGACCAGCCACACUGGAACUGAGACACGGUCCAGACUCCUACGGGAGGCAGCAGUGGGGAAUUUUGGACAAUGGGCGCAAGCCUGAUCCAGCCAUUCCGCGUGCAGGAUGAAGGCCUCGGGUUGUAAACUAGCUUUGUUACGGUAACGAAAAGGUACCUAGGUUAAU